UAGUAUAUCAGGUCAUAUGUAAACACACAAAUCAUAUUCAUGUCAACGUAUAAACAUCAAGCCGGUUCGAAUUUAAUGAGUUAAUCAAAAAGAAAAUCAAAUAUAUAAUUACAUCAACAUUAAAAAACACAAAUUUAAUAAGGAAUCAUCAUAGAAAGUUAAGAAACAUCGAAAAGUAACAACCCUUCACUACCCAUACGAUCAUACAACCCUUAUGUAAACAGAGACUCCUCCCUUACCUCUAGUUUGGAGAAUUUGAUGAAUUUCUAUGAUAAUAUCUCUCUCAAGUUCUUCUUUCUAUGCCAUCUUGCUUUUUCUCUUCACAGCCCUAGUUUUUCUUUUGCCGCCUUGUUUUUCUUUUCUCGGUAACCCUUUCUCUCUAAUUCUCUUAUCUAUUUAUAAGCUCUAGUUGAGUUUGUUACAAAUCUUUUCAGACUCUAGGUUUCUUACUAAUCUUUUUAGAUUACUAUCUGCACCUCUGUAUUUUGUUACUAUUAUUUCUGUAAUUACACCGUCGUGUUAUUCAUACUCUCCUCUACUUAAAUCAUUAAAGCAUUACUCAUCUCACUAACU
rnacentral:lncRNA from 1 species